UGUUUGUGGCUGUAAGUGAAGUAAAGCCUUUCUUCAGUAAAGCAGAGGGAGAAGGAAGAGAGUGAGACACUGCCUCAAGUGUCUGGAGAAAUCGACUGCGACACUGCUGCUGAUUUAAAAGACUUGCUUGGACCUUCAAAGGUCAAACCGGAAAAGACUGUGGAAAUAGCCUGGGACCAAGAGGAUGCGCAGGACUCUGCCCCAGACGAAUGUCUGGGACCUUUGCCUGAAAACGACGGAACUCAGGAGUCGAGUGCUUUCAAGUUUUCCUUCUUUGAAGACACAGAGGAGUUGGGCAUCAAAGAAGGGCCUCACAUACUUGGAACGAUAAAACCGGAAAAAGUCACGUGGCAAGAGGAUUCACAUUUCCAAGACAUCACUUCUGAGGGUGCUGAUGAUGUCAGAAAUUGCAAAGCACCAAGAAA